rnacentral:rRNA from 1 species
AGCGAACGCUGGCGGCAGGCUUAACACAUGCAAGUCGAGCGCCCCGCAAGGGGAGCGGCAGACGGGUGAGUAACACGUGGGAACGUGCCUUUUGGUUCGGAACAACCCAGGGAAACCUGGGCUAAUACCGGAUAAGCCAUUACGGGGAAAGAUUUAUCGCCAAAAGAUCGGCCCGCGUCUGAUUAGCUAGUUGGUGGGGUAAUGGCCCACCAAGGCUACGAUCAGUAGCUGGUCUGAGAGGAUGAUCAGCCACAUUGGGACUGAGAAACGGCCCAAACUCCUACGGGAGGCAGCAGUGGGGAAUAUUGGACAAUGGGGGCAACCCUGAUCCAGCCAUGCCGCGUGAGUGAUGAAGGCCUUAGGGUUGUAAAGCUCUUUUAGCAGGGAAGAUAAUGACGGUACCUGCAGAAAAAGCCCCGGCUAACUUCGUGCCAGCAGCCGCAGUAACAC